UACAGAGGUGGCAAGCGUUGUUCGGAAUUACUGGGCGUAAAGGGCGCGUAGGCGGCCCUCUAAGUCCCGUGUGAAAGCCCCCGGCUCAACCGGGGAACUGCACGGGAAACUGGAAGGCUUGAGUUCGGGAGAGGGAAGCGGAAUUCCGGGUGUAGCGGUGAAAUGCGUAGAGAUCCGGAAGAACACCGGUGGCGAAGGCGGUCUGCUGGGCAGUUGCUGACACUGAGGCGCGACAGCGUGGGGAGCAAACAGG
rnacentral:rRNA from 1 species